UUUACAAUAAGAUUUCAUUUAUAAACAUUAUGUUAACAUGAACAAUAUUUAUAUAGCAUUCAUUCAUGUCAGUUAAUAUUCCAAACUUAAACAUUAAAACAUUGUUUUAUUGUGAUUUUUUUCCAAGAACAUUUUACCAAUUCCAAACCAUAUCAAUCUUAAUAACUACCAUUAUUUUUAUUUAAUCAUUUAUAAGUGCUAUACAAUAGUCCAGGAAAGCUGGAAGAGAAAAACACUUUAUAUUCAUGUGUGUAGAAUUAUUAGGCAUGUUUUCUUUUGCAGAUGGAAUGCGCUAAAAAAGAGUUUUAACUCAAACUGUAAAGUCGAAAAUUAUGAAAUACCCAUGAGAAAUAUCAAACACAAAUGCAAUACAGAAAUGGAUAAGUUAAGACUUGACCAUUAUACAAAAAAUGCUGACUGGGUCAUGAGGUCAGAAAAGAAGAAGAAAAAAACAGGUCAAGAAGAACUGACAAAAAGAAUUGCAAAAUAAUUAGGAAUUAAUGUGAAGAUUAAUUUUUAGUCAAUUCUGCAAGACAGACUUUCAGGAAAGGAGGUGGAAUAAAAAUGAGCUCCUAAAUCUUAAUCCCGGAUUCUGGAAGAUAUAUUCCUCAAACCAUCAAACAAGAGGAGGUGGUGCUGGUCCUUCACGAGUCAGUCUAAUCUGUUCAUUAAGCCUAUAUAUAAAGUCUUAAUAUAUAGUAUUUCACAAUACUUCAUGGUAUUCUAAUUAAAUAUUUUUUUGGAAUCUUAGAUCUCUCAGAACCUGACACAUUGUAAUUCUGAGACUCCAGGAAAGUGGCAAUUCUGUAAAAUGUUGGCGCUGGAGACUAAAUGCUCACUGAUAGUUUCACACCUAAUUCACUUAAAACACACACAAACACACACACACAGUGACAGAGGGACAGAGUGACAUCAGAUGUAUGUUUUUUAAUUUUCUGUCAUCCAUAUAAUGUUGUAUAGUCAUGAAACUAUGCAUAUUUCCUCAGAAUGACUUGUCUUCUAUGUGUACAUUUUUUUGAAGUGUUUAGAAGCUGCACUUUUUUUUACUGGUUCCUUUUUUACUAUUAUUUCAAAAAAUCACCACGACAAAACCAUUCAAGCUAUCCAAAAUUCAUUCACACCUGUUCUGUAAGAUUAAUUCUUUAAACAGUGGUAAAAGAUGAUGUGGUGCUGAACCUUCAAGAGUCACUUAAAACGUAUCUGUCCAUAAAGCCUAUUAAGAAUUAUUCUUAAUAUACAGUUCACAAUACUUCAGCUUGUUAUUCUAAUUAAGUGAGGGUCAUUUUAUCAGUAAAAUUCCUAAAAUACAUAUUAUUUUAUUUGAAAGAUUUCUAUAAAUUAUUUAAAUCAUACUCGUUUCUCCAAUAAUUAUUUAAAAGUAAUCCUAUAGCUCCCUCUGGUGGCCAUUAUAGGUACUAAGAAUUGCAAGCUUGAUUUAUAAGUUAUGAUAGUUUUAAUUUUAUGCUGGCUCUUGAAAAUGAUAAAGCUAUGAAACUUACUGUGCUUCCUUCAAAUGAGGACUUCUACUUAUAUAAAAAAUUAUGAAGAGUUAGCAUGAAAAAUUUUAAAGAUAUAGUAAAAUAACUAUUGUAUUUUUUAUGUUACUUUAAUAAAUCUCUAUGGCAACACCAUUUAAGCUAUCCUAAACCCAUUCACAAUUUAACAUCUCAGUAUAUAGGCAUAAUGUUGAAAAAGGAGUAUGGAGUAGUAUGAGUAGGAGUAUGAAUUCAUUUGCAGGCUUUAUCAUAAAUCCACAAUAAAAUUUCUGAGUUCUGUA